rnacentral:rRNA from 1 species
CAAUAGCGUAUAUUUAAGUUGUUGCAGUUAAAAAGCUCGUAGUCUAACCUCUGCCAGGUGUCAUGUCUGCCUUCUGGUGAGUACUUGUGCCACCUGGCAUCUAUUCGGAAUUGGGCGUUGCACUUAAUUGUGUGGGUCCGAUACCGGAGCUGAUACUUUGAGAAAAUUAGAGUGUUCCAAGCAGGCGUCGCCUUGAAUACUGCAGCAUGGGAUAUCGAGAUAGGGCUCAUCUCCUAUCUUGUUGGUUCUCGGGAUGUGAGCAAUGAUUAAUAGGGAUAGUUGGGGGCAUUCGUAUUUAACUGUCAGAGGUGAAAUUCUUGGAUUUGUUAAAGACGAACUACUGCGAAANCANNNGCCAAGGAUGUUUUCAUNGA